rnacentral:rRNA from 1 species
AUUGAACGCUGGCGGCAGGCCUAACACAUGCAAGUCGAGCGGAUGAAGGGAGCUUGCUCCUGGAUUCAGCGGCGGACGGGUGAGUAAUGCCUAGGAAUCUGCCCGGUAGUGGGGGAUAACGUCCGGAAACGGGCGCUAAUACCGCAUACGUCCUGAGGGAGAAAGUGGGGGAUCUUCGGACCUCACGCUAUCAGAUGAGCCUAGGUCGGUUUAGCUAGUUGGUGGGGUAAAGGCCUACCAAGGCGACGAUCCGUAACUGGUCUGAGAGGAUGAUCAGUCACACUGGAACUGAGACACGGUCCAGACUCCUACGGGAGGCAGCAGUGGGGAAUAUUGGACAAUGGGCGAAAGCCUGAUCCAGCCAUGCCGCGUGUGUGAAGAAGGUCUUCGGAUUGUAAAGCACUUUAAGUUGGGAGGAAGGGCAGUAAGUUAAUACCUUGCUGUUUUGACGUUACCAACAGAAUAAGCACCGGCUAACUUCGUG